UACAGAGGGUGCGAGCGUUGUUCGGAAUUAUUGGGCGUAAAGGGCGCGUAGGCGGUGCGGUAAGUCACCUGUGAAAUCUCCUGGCUCAACUGGGAGCUUGCAGGCGAAACUGCCGUGCUGGAGUGUGGGAGAGGUGCGUGGAAUUCCUGGUGUAGCGGUGAAAUGCGUAGAUAUCAGGAGGAACACCUGUGGCGAAGGCGGCUACCUGGACCAGCACUGACACUGAGGCACGAAAGCGUGGGGAGCAAACAGG
rnacentral:rRNA from 1 species